rnacentral:rRNA from 1 species
GACGAACGCUGGCGGCGUGCUUAACACAUGCAAGUCGAACGGUAAGGCCCUUCGGGGUACACGAGUGGCGAACGGGUGAGUAACACGUGGGUGAUCUGUCCUGCACUUCGGGAUAAGCCUGGGAAACUGGGUCUAAUACCGGAUAGGACCAUGCGCCUCACGGUGUGCGGUGGAAAGCUUUUGCGGGGUGGGAUGGGCCCGCGGCCUAUCAGCUUGUUGGUGGGGGAAUGGCCUACCAAGGCCACGACGGGUAGCCGGCCUGAGAGGGUGACCGGCCACACUGGGACUGAGAUACGGCCCAGACUCCUACGGGAGGCAGCAGUGGGGAAUAUUGCACAAUGGGCGCAAGCCUGAUGCAGCGACGCCGCGUGAGGGAUGACGGCCUUCGGGUUGUAAACCUCUUUCAGUAGGGACGAAGCGCAGGUGACGGUACCUACAGAAGAAGGACCGGCCAACUACGUGCCAGCAGCCGCCGUAA